UAUAUAGCUACACUGCAAAGUAAUAUAUAUAAAGUUAGUGAUUGUACUGAUUUUAUUACUUUUAUUAAGCCAUUUUAUUUUCCUCACACUCAAUGCAAAGAAAUAAAAUACAAUGGAAGAAAAAUAUGCCCUCAUUAUUAUUCACAAUAAGAGAGUCUGCUGCGUGAUGCUGGCCUGG